UUUGCCCAGUUCUGUAUUAUUUGUCCUGCCUGGACUGAGGUGGUAACCAGCGGCACAGUUUUUGGAAGAACAGCCUAUGCCAGUUUUCAUUGGCAAGGCCCAUGCACAAAGGGGGCAAUUGACGAGGCAAGCGUGGGAAACGUAUUUCUGCAGAGAUGAGUUUCUGCCAAUCAGAGGCUGGAGCAGAUUCCCCCCCCCCCUCUCCUCCCCUUUCGAUCUGGACUGAACUUCAACCCUGUUGAAUCACAACUGACAAGAGCCUGGAUGCAAACUACAUCAGAAGGAAGAGGCUGCCAUGACUAGAAUGUUCUCUUCGGGGGGGGGGAAAUAAAACUGCAGCUGUCACUGGUGACGGAAACAAGGGAAAUGAAAACAAGUAGACAGAAACCUGAUCAUGCCACCUCCCCGAAUCACCUUUAUUCUUCAGGAAGUUUCAGUUCUCCUAAGCUGAAUGUCAAAAAGUCAAAGGUGAGGAAACAAAAAAUAAAGGAACAUGACGUUCCAAAUAUGAGUAGCUUACAUUUUAAAAAGCAUGAUGCAUGCAUUUGAAAGAUUAAAGUCAUCAAGGACCAGGACCUGAGACAACAGAUCUGAAGUUUACAACAAUGCAACAGCACCGGGAAGAGAAUUGCUAGUCAAUCUAUGGUAGCACCUCCUGCAACAUUCAUCAGCCCACUAUGACUAAUGAUCAGGAGUUAUAGAAGUUGUAUCGCAAACAUCUGGCAGACACAGUAUCAGGUUGACUUUAAAAUAUCAAGUGUCUCCAGAUGUUAUGGCCCUGAUAUAUGUCCCUUAGACAAGUCUUCCCCAACAUCUUGCAACAAAGUAGGAAUUAUUAAGCUCUUAGAAUUCCAAACUUCAUGAGCAAAGGCUUUGGGUUAACCUGUACUUUCUGAAAAUGGUGUUAUGGCAUUUGCCACAGGUUUUAAUGGGAUCACAAAUUGGUGUUGGCUGGGAAUUCUGGGUGUUACAGUAAGGAGGACACCCCAUUGGCCAGAUCUAUCUUCAAUGAAUCAGAAAAGUAUGAUUUUCUAAACUGCCUCUUUACUGAGUAGCAGUUUACUUUGAGAAGAUAUAUAUCUCAGUUUAGUCUAAGAACUAUUAUUUGGUCCAUUCAAGCUAGAAACAUGCACUGAGAGAAGAUACAAAAGUAUGUUUAGAGAUGGAGGAUGGUUUCUUUGAAAAAUGCAUAAAGAAACAGUAUGUCCUUAUCUAUUUUUUUUCUUUGUGAGUUUAAGACUUUUUAGAAGAAAGUUCAGCUUUAGAAAUCCCUCAGAAUUGCGCUGUAUUGCAAAUCAUCUUUUUGUAGGUCAAGUUGUUAUGUAUUCUAAGAAAUGAAUAAAGAAUUAUUUCCCCAGAAAUGCAAUUGCUGUAACUCUAAUAUCCAACCCACAGGAAGGUGUAAAUUCUUUAUUGUUAGCAUAAGAAACAUAAUUUGAAGAAGAAUGUUUAUUUAGUUUUUAUUCAGAACCUUUUACCCACAGCCAGAGAAAAAUUUUCUUAAACAGGAAAAAAAACCCAGAAGGGAAUAAGUAUUUUUCCAUUCUCAAAUAUACACUUUACUUAUUUAUAAGAAACUAAGACUGUUUUGCAGAGUGAUUUAAGAGGAUAAGAGUAAAAAUAUUGGGGGGGGGGGGGAGAGAUCUAACCUCAUCCAGGAAGAAUUUUGAGCUGAAGGGCUCAAGUGAGUGUAAUUGAAAGGACAGCUCUUAAGGAGAUGGUGGGGAAAUUCCACAAACUUAAAAGAAACAAAAACAUCUGUCAAAUCACAAAUGAAAAAUCCAUUUGAGUUAUGUAUGGAGAGGACAAAGUAAUUCAGGCAAUUCCAUCUGGGAGACCUUAACCCCAUCACUCCCAUCAAAGAAGCAAUAUAUUCAGAGGUAAUAAGUUCUAGAUCUCCCUUUCGAAGACUAUAAAACUUUUCCUGGUUGGGAGGCAAAGGAGGGGGAGCAUUUCGUCCCCACCAUCCAUUCAGUCAAUCCCGAAGGUGCCUUUGAGAAAUUGCAGGGCGGGAACCGGUGCAUCUGAGAGAGAUGUUUGCUUCGGCGCGCUCAAGGAGCUCAUUAGGUCAUUUUGGGGGAAAGGAGCCCAGGGGACAUAGAGAGAAGGGGAAAGCAGAAAGCAGAGGCUUGUUCUGCGAGAUGGCAAACCUAGCUGGGGGCUAUCCAGGGGAGGGCAAAAACUGGGGGAUCGAGGGAGACGAGACUUGGGUUUCCUGGCGGAGAUGCAGAAAACGACCUCACAGCUGGGAGGACGCGAGGAAGACACUUUGGGGACAGCAGAGAGAAAGGAAAAAAACCCAAGGGGAGCAUUUGGGAAGGGAGGGGGCAUUUUUCUAUCGGCAACGUUUCCGCCCGGAGCUAUUU